rnacentral:siRNA from 1 species
CAUAAAAUUGAUGAAGGAGCUA